rnacentral:misc_RNA from 1 species
ACAUGAAAAAUAAAAAUAAAAUAAUGUAAAUUCCAACUUCAGCUAGGUUUUAUGUCAAUCUCGAAACAGGUAAAAUCUCUUUUAUGGUAUUUUUUAUUAAAUAAAGAGAUUAAGGAAAAAACAAUAAGCUAAGCCGGUUUUAAUUAAUUAACCUCUAUAUUUACGCUUAAGAUAGAAUACACCUUCGCGCUUACGAUGUAUAUUCUGCGUAAGCAGGCGCAAAGCCUAAACCUUUAUACUAUCGUAUAAAGCUAAAACCUCUUAUUUUCUUUUAGCGUUUAAAUUUUUUCUAACUUUUUUAGUUAGUAAAAAGGAUACUAAAAUAAUCGCCUAUUUGUUUUAUAGUACUCAUAUAAUUGUUUAUACUUAAAUCAUA